AACGAACGCUGGCGGCAUGCCUAACACAUGCAAGUCGAACGAGAUCUUCGGGUCUAGUGGCGCACGGGUGCGUAACGCGUGGGAAUCUGCCCUUUGGGUCGGAAUAACAGUUGGAAACGACUGCUAAUACCGGAUGAUGACGAAAGUCCAAAGAUUUAUACGCCAGAGGAUGAGCCCGCGUAGGAUUAGCUAGUUGGUGUGGUAAAGGCGCACCAAGGCGACGGUCCUUAGCUGGUCUGAGAGGAUGAUCAGCCACACUGGGACUGAGACACGGCACAGACUCCUACGGGAGGCAGCAGUGGGUAAUGUUGGAAAAUGGGCUAAAGCCUGAUCCAGCAAUGCCGCGUGAGUGAUGUAGGCCUUAGGGUUGUAGAGCUCUUUUACCCGGGAUGAUAAUGACAGUACCGGAAGAAUAAGCUCCGGCUAACUCCGUGCCAGCCGCCGCCGUAA
rnacentral:rRNA from 1 species